rnacentral:rRNA from 1 species
UACGAAGGGGGCUAGCGUUGCUCGGAAUCACUGGGCGUAAAGGGCGCGUAGGCGGCCACCGCAAGUCGACUGUGAAAUCUCCGGGCUUAACCCGGAAAGGUCAGCCGAUACUGCGGGGCUAGAGUGCAGAAGGGGCAACUGGAAUUCUCGGUGUAGCGGUGAAAUGCGUAGAUAUCGAGAGGAACACCUGCGGCGAAGGCGGGUUGCUGGGCUGACACUGACGCUGAGGCGCGAAAGCUAGGGGAGCGAACGGG